rnacentral:lncRNA from 1 species
AUAUUUCUAUCCCAGAUAUGGUUUCUCUACAAAAAAUAAAUUAGAAGGGAACUAGUUUAAAACAUCUAGGCUUGGUCUGAUGCAUCCAUUAUCUCUACCAGGGACGAAAGCCAUGGGGAGUGAAGAGCCAAUGGGGAGAGAAGUACAUGGUAGAUGCUGGUACGAAUUUCCAGGAAGUGUAGGUGAGAAUUCAACACUGAAGCAGGCACAGUACCUGGUCAUCUUUAUUUCCAACACUUUCAUGGAAAUGCAGAACUUUGAUGAUGUAUUGAGAGGAGAUACAAACAAUUACAGUAAUGUGACAGAGCUAGAAUUUGAAUCCAGCUGUGUAUUAUUCCACUAAAGCAUGACACAUGUGGCAAAG